rnacentral:piRNA from 1 species
UAAAAAUUUUAAUACUGGGGACUGAA